rnacentral:piRNA from 1 species
UGGGUGUGUCUCUCAGGAAAGAUC